rnacentral:rRNA from 1 species
CCUACGGGCGACAGCAGUGGGAAAUAUUGGGCAAUGGGCGCAAGCCUGACCCAGCAACGCCGCGUGAAGGAAGAAGGCUUUCGGGUUGUAAACUUCUUUUGUCAGGGACGCAGCAAGUGACGGUACCUGACGAAUAAGCCACGGCUAACUACGUGCCAGCAGCCGCGGUAAUACGUAGGUGGCAAGCGUUAUCCGGAUUUACUGGGUGUAAAGGGCGUGUAGGCGGGGAAGCAAGUCAGAUUUGAAAGCCACGGGCUCAACCUGUGGCCUGCAUUUGAAACUGUGUUUCUUGAGUACUGGAGAGGCAGACGGAAUUCCUAGUGUAGCGGUGAAAUGCGUAGAUAUCAGGAGGAACAUCGGUGGCGUAAGCGCUUUACUGGGCCGUAAUUGACGCUGAGGAACGAAAGCCAGGGUAGCAAAUGGGAUUAGAUACCCUGGUAGUC